rnacentral:rRNA from 2 species
GUGCCUAAUACAUGCAAGUCGUACGCACUGGCCCAACUGAUUGAUGGUGCUUGCACCUGAUUGACGAUGGAUCACCAGUGAGUGGCGGACGGGUGAGUAACACGUAGGUAACCUGCCCCGGAGCGGGGGAUAACAUUUGGAAACAGAUGCUAAUACCGCAUAACAACAAAAGCCGCAUGGCUUUUGUUUGAAAGAUGGCUUUGGCUAUCACUCUGGGAUGGACCUGCGGUGCAUUAGCUAGUUGGUAAGGUAACGGCUUACCAAGGCGAUGAUGCAUAGCCGAGUUGAGAGACUGAUCGGCCACAAUGGAACUGAGACACGGUCCAUACUCCUACGGGAGGCAGCACUAGGGAAUCUUCCACAAUGGGCGCAAGCCUGAUGGAGCAACACCGCGUGAGUGAAGAAGGGUUUCGGCUCGUAAAGCUCUGUUGAUGGAGAAGAACGUGCGUGAGAGUAACUGUUCACGCAUUGACGGUAUCCAACCAGAAAGUCACGGCUAACUACGUGCCAGCAGCCGCGGUAAUACGUAGGUGGCAAGCGUUAUCCGGAUUUAUUGGGCGUAAAGCGAGCGCAGGCGGUUGCUUAGGUCUGAUGUGAAAGCCUUCGGCUUAACCGAAGAAGUGCAUCGGAAACCGGGCGACUUGAAUGCAAAAGAGGACAGUGGAAC